AUUACAGCAUUUAAAUGGAUCAGUACUCAGGAGGAGCUUCAUUUCUCCCGGUGACAUAAACUCUGCCUGAACCUUCCCCGCAGUCAUCAGCGAGAUGGCGAGUAAAUCCUGGGCGACUCAUCAAGCGACAUUACUGCUGCUGCUUUUAACCUGGAGGGAGAACUUGCAUUGUGAUGGAUUUACAGUGGACCCUCCUGUGAACCUCAUGAUAAAUGACCCUGGUCACCUUGGACACCUCGAGAUUACAUGGAGCCCCCCAGUCAACUUGAUCAACAUGACAGAGUGCUCAAAACUGUAUCAUCUGGAGUACUUCAACACCUACAGGAGCAGCUGGAGUGUCGUAAGGACACCUAAGAGGAAGUACACGGCCCAGUUCGAUUUGAUGAAAGAUGUAAGAGUGCGAGUGUACACCGUGCUGAGUGGAUCUUGCACAAAUGGCACUGUGGUCAUGAGCAUCAACUACACGGAACUUGUGCAGAAACCUCCUGGCACAGGUGCUGUGGGUACAGCAGUUCAAAAUGUUGUCUGUGUGAACCACAACAUGAAUUACAUGGAGUGCAAGUGGGAAAGAGGCCCAAAGACAGCAGCCAACUCACAGCAGAAUUUAUAUUUCUGGUACAAGGAACUCGGGCAGGUGGAGGAAUGCCCCAAAUAUCUUAUUUCAAAGGGCUAUAGGAGCGGCUGUAAUUUCACAGGGAUUGCUCUCCCUGAUUUCACUGAUAUCAUCUUCUGUGUAAACGGCUCCUCCCCGGACGGGCCCCUGAAAGCAACAUACAUCUCCCUGCAAAUCCAGAACCACGUAAAGCCUGAUACUACAGAAAAACUGCAUCUAGAAGCAGGUCCAGACAUGCAGUUGGAGCUACAGUGGAACUCUCCUGUUAGCCGGAUUCCUAGACACUGCCUUGAAUGGGAGGUGGAGCACAGUCAGGAGGGACCUGAUGGGAAGAUUGCAUCGGAGAAGAUUUUGAUCACUGAGAUGAGUCUCAGUCUGCUCUCCAAACACAAUAACAAGAGAGACUGCUUCAGAGUUCGAUCCAAAUUGCAUAAAUAUUGUGCAGACAAAGGAUUUUGGAGUGACUGGAGUCUGCAGACAUGCCAUCCAGCCACGUCAAACCAGCACUCAUGAGAAACAUUAACUUUGUGGAUCACCAGCAGGAAGGCCCUGAUGAUGUCAUCAAAUACCACGAGUAAUGCCAAGGUUUACUCAUUGAGACGGGAAGGACAAAAGAUGACCCUGUUUAAGGCUUAAGAGGGUGUUGCUAACACACAGGACAAUAUGGGGAUGUAAAAAUAAAGUAUAACGUGUCUUUUUGUGAAUGAACUGUAUUUUUUAAGCUUUAAAAAAAGCCCAAAAGGCCCAUGCUUCACUUGUGUUGUAUCUGUUUGUUUUUGUUCAUUUGAAUAAUUGGUUGUUAUUGAUUCACUUUGGCGCCCUGGUGUUAGAAGAAAUAGUCAGUUGUUACAAGUCUGCUGUCUGUAUUUCUACCAUGUUAUCUUGUAUCCACAUCACCAAGGCAACGACACAGUCGUUUAAUUGUGAUUGAUUUCUGAGAGAAAGGGGCAAAUGGAGUGAUCUUGUUUGCCUGAUUGUUUUUUGUUUUUUUUGUUGAAGGAACAUUUUUGUUACUUCAGGUGUAUAGCUGUACUUAUGAAGAUUCUCAAUAAACAAAUCUGAUCUAGCUCUGUCUGAACAUGUAGGAGUAGCCUACAGGUUAAAUUGUCGGGCUUGGAAUACUACGCUGUUGUUUGCACUGCACUUCUUCACAUUUGACGGCAACCAUGUCCUAACAUUGCACAGGGACACACAUUGCACCGUUCAACUUGUGUUGAAAUUGGCCUCAGAUAUUCCUGCCUCCUUUCCUGUUCAAUUGAGGUUCCUGUUGCAUGUCCACAAACUCUGAAACAUCUUGAAUGGUAUAUGUUGAAUAGUGAAUAAACUGUACGUUUAAUGGUUGAUUACUUGCCGGAUGUCUUGCCACUUUCCUGGAGACAUUGAUGUUAAAAUGUGUGUACCAACUGUGACAUAAAAUAUCUGUUGCUUCAAAUGGAGAAAUGAAGUUCACGGUUGCUCCGCUUUUUAGCAUCACAGUGUUUUCACAGAAUGAAUAAAAAAGUUGAUAAAACUCUAGAUUGCUUUUAAUCUCCUUUAUUGCACUGCAACAUCAAUCGAUACGCUGAUGACACUAUAUUGUCUUCCAUCUGUUUUGUCUUUUGAUGACCUCCAGGCCUCUUUUAUCAAUUAACAACUGGUUUUGUUUAGACAGUGGAGAACUCAUUUCUGAAAGUAAAGAGCUCUGAAUACUUUGUGAAAAUCUGAAGAUUCAUUACAUCAUUAUUUUAGAGAGGUUACAUCACAAAUCCUAAAAAAAAUGGCAUGUCACUCAAAAAUGAAAAUGAAAAUUUUGAUUUGAAAACUAAGCUUAUUUUUCCUUUUUUGCAU